rnacentral:rRNA from 1 species
GACGAACCGUGCGAACGUUGUUCGGAAUCACUGGGCUUAAAGGGCGCGUAGGCGGCUCCGAUAGUCGGGGGUGAAAUCCCACAGCUUAACUGUGGAAGUGCCUUCGAUACUGCGGGGCUCGAGCGAGGUAGGGGCAGAGGGAACUUCUGGUGGAGCGGUGAAAUGCGUUGAUAUCAGAAGGAACGCCGGUGGCGAAAGCGCUCUGCUGGACCUCUCCUGACGCUGAGGCGCGAAGCUAAGGGGAGCAAACGGGGAUUAAGAAACC